UGUAUGUAUGUGUGCAUGUGUAUAAUGUAAUGUAUGUUUAUAUAUUAUGUAUGUAUAUAUACAUA
rnacentral:pre_miRNA from 1 species